AAAGCAGAGAGCUAGUCACCAGAGGGAUGUGUUUGAUCCAGCACACCCCUUCUCUUCAUAGCAGAGAAUCGACACCCAAUCAAUCACAGCAAAGGUGCUCACUGUGCCUGACAUUUCUAUUCUACCUAAAAUUAAUCAGCAUUGACUGAGCAUCUCCCUAGGUCAGUACAUUUCACAAAUUUGGAGUAAACUUUUAUGUGUACUCAAGGGAGAUGUUUAGAAAGGGUUAUCUUCGAAGAGACGCUUCAGAAAGGAGAGAGAAUUUGGGGAACCUUUUCCAUGAUUUGAAGAAGACGGCAAGAAGCCUCUCAACACAUGUUGGCACCUCCAUAUUGAAAUUCCCAGCGUCCAGAACUGUGAACUAAUAAAUUUCUUCAUUGUAAAUCA
rnacentral:lncRNA from 10 species